UGUAUUCAAAGCAAACAUUAAAGAUGAUUACAUUGAUGCAUGUUUUGUGCUUUCAAAUGAGUGAUCUAUCCUCAAGUUGGAGGUCAAUAACUUGAAACAAUCAGAAGUACUAGUAUUAGAAAAGGGAUGUGUUUAUUGCACUCAAAUUAUUAUAAUGCUUUCUUAAAUCCUGGGACAGUGAUCAUAGAAAGUGAGAAAGAUACCAGAGAUAGAACUAAUCUUCUGGAAAUUGGACUGACUUACAGACCGGAAGUCAGUCACGUUAUAUCCCAUUUGAUAGAAGGUAAUUUCUUUUCACUUGACAUAAUGUUGUUUUGAUUAUUCAAGUUUACAGAAAGGAAAAAAAAAACACUUUUACUUUUCCGAACAGUGAACCAAAGAUACCAGAGAUAGAACUAAUCUUCUGGAAAUUGGACUGACUUCAAGACCAGAAGUCAGUCACUUUAUAUCCCAUUUGAUAGAAGGUAAUUUCUUUUCACUUGACAUAAUGUUGUUUUGAUUAUUCAAGUUUGCAGAAAGGAAAGAAAAGAAAAAGCACUUUUACUUUUCCGAAAAGUGAACCAAAGAUACAAAAAAUUUAACGUGGCUUUGUGAUG
rnacentral:lncRNA from 1 species